GACGAACCAUCCAAACGUUAUUCGGAAUUACUGGGCUUAAAGGGUGCGUAGGCUGCGCAGAAAGUUGGGUGUGAAAUCCCUCGGCUUAACCGAGGAACUGCGCCCAAAACUACUGUGCUUGAGGGAGACAGAGGUGAGCGGAACUUAGGGUGGAGCGGUGAAAUGCGUUGAUAUCUGGAGGAACACCGGUGGCGAAGGCGACGUCCUGGACCGGCAUUGACGCUGAGGCGCGAAAGCCAGGGGAGCAAACGGG
rnacentral:rRNA from 1 species